rnacentral:rRNA from 1 species
UCUGACACAGGUGCUGCAUGGCUGUCGUCAGCUCGUGUCGUGAGAUGUUGGGUUAAGGUCCCGUAACCGAGCGCAACCCCUGCAUUCAGUUGCCAUCGGGUGAAGCCGGGCACUCUGGAAGGACUGCCAUCGACAAGAUGGAGGAAGGUGGGGACGACGUCAAGUCAUCAUGGCCCUUAUGUCCAGGGCGACACACGUGCUACAAUGGCCGGCACAACGGGAAGCGAGUUCGCGAGGACGAGCGGAUCCCUUAAAGCCGGUCGCAGUUCGGAUUGAAGUCUGCAACUCGACUUCAUGAAGCUGGAAUCGCUAGUAAUCGCAGAUCAGCCAAGCUGCGGUGAAUACGUUCCCGGGCCUU